AGGUCCGCCUGCCCUGUGAUAUUUUUAACGGCCGCGGUAUCUUGACCGUGCGAAGGUAGCGUAAUCAAUUGUUUUUUAAUAGAAGGACCGUAUGAAAGGCAUUACGAGAGUUUAACUGUCUUUAUUUUCCAAUCAAUGAAAUUAAUCUCCUCGUGCAGAAGCGAGGAUAUAAACAUAAGACGAGAAGACCCUAUGGAGCUUUAAACACUUAAGUUAUCUUGAAAAUAAAUACGCGUCCUUGGAUAUAAAUACUUAAAAAGUCUUAACUUAACUUGUUUUUGGUUGGGGUGACCAAGGAGAAAAACAAAGCCUCCUUAUCGAAUGUGUGAUUAAUCACUCAAAAAUUAGAAUUACUAUUCUAAUCAAUAGAAAAUCUAACGAACAAUGACCCAGGGAUCUCCUCCCUGACCAAUGAACCAAGUUACCCUAGGGAUAACAGCGCAAUCCUUUCCAAGAGCCCCCAUUACCGAAAGGGUUUACGACCUCGAUGUUGGAUCAGGACAUCCUAAUGGUGCAGCAGCUAUUAAGGGUUCGUUUGUUCAACGAUUAAAGUCCUACGUGAUC
rnacentral:rRNA from 1 species